GCCGCGCGUCGCCGGAAGCGGGUGUGAGGGCGGAGCCAUGGACGUCACCGUUAACGUCAGUAGUUGCCCCGCCCUUGCCCUCGCCGCCCUACGGUGUUUAAAAGGCUCCAAUGUACCCUGAGGUAUUUAUCAGCGCUCCCCAGUGCGGGGCGAACGCGGCUGGAGCAUGGUCUCUGGAAUCAGACCACUUAGAUUAAAGUCCUAGCUUGACCACUUGCCAUCUGAAUGCUCUCCAGCAAGUUAUUUCACUUCUCUGGAUCUCAGUUUCCUCAUCUGUAAUAAUAGUAUUUACCUCAGAGGAUGACUAUGAAGAACUAAUGAGUUAACAUUUGCAAACAAUUCAUCCAACCUCCUCUACCUGCCCUGUGCCCUGGAAGCAGACCUCUAUGGACUCCACCAACAGGCCCCCAUGCCCUCUGGCUUCCAGGAUAUAUUUAAGGGGAGUGUCCGGAGUGAACUGAAGCCAUGCAGGAGUGCCAUGCAGAUGUGGCCAGCUGGUCAGAAAGAAAGAUGAAGAGAGAACCGGUGAGCAAAGGCCCCCUCCAGGCCAAACAUUUGCCCAGCAACAUGUGAGCAGGUGGAAACUGAAUCGUACUAUUAAUUUGCGUCAAGACAGCAUUUUGAAUUCCUGGCAGAAAUGGAUGGGAAAGGGCUCAGAAGUUGUUUGGAGCAAACCAUAUUUUACUUCCUUGAGCAAUUUAGUUCUCUGGGCGGCAUAGGGCAGGCCAGCCAAUAGCCAGCAAGAACUCGGAAUUGCACUUUCAGCAUUGUGUAGUGUGAGGUGUGUGAGUAAGAAGGUACUCACUUUGGAGGUGCC